UUUUGGUACACGGAGGCCGUUCGCAAAGUCUCGCGCCAUUCUGAGUCCGGCGGAAGAAGUCGGCCAGCCCCACCCCCCAAGGAUAUAGCCCACCCGUUUUCGUGGCCUUUUUCCGUUGGACGAACUUGGCGUCCCGGACUUCGGGCGGUUAUUUUUGGGCGCGGCCGUGCCCGCGGCCUAUUUUUGGCACACGGAGACCGCUCGCAAAGUCUCGUGCCAUUCCGAGUCCGGCGGACGAAGUCGGCCAGCCCCACCCCCGAAGGCUAUAGCCCACCCGUUUUUGUGGCCUUUUUCCGCUGGACGAACUUGGCGCCCCGGACUUUGGGCGGUUAUUUUUGGGCGCGGCCGUGUCCGCGGUCUAUUUUUUGCACACGGAGGCCGCUCGUAGAGUCUCGCGCCAUUCCGAGUCCGGCGGACGAAGUCGGCCCGCCCCACCCCCCAAGGCUAUAGCCCACCCGUUUUUGUGGACUUUUUCCGCUGGACGAACUUGGCGCCCCGGACUUCGGGCGGUUAUUUUUGGGCGAGGCCUUGCCCGCGGCCUAUAUUUGGCACACGGAGGCCACUCGCAAAGUCUCGCGCCAUUCCGAGUCCGGCGGACGAAGUCCGUCAGCCCCACCCCCAAAGGCUAUAGCCCACCCGUUUUUGUGGCCUUUUUCCGCUGGACGAACUUGGCGCCCCGGACUUCGUGCGGUUAUUUUUGGGCACGGCCGUGCCCGCGGCCUAUUUUUGGUACACGGAGGCUGCUCGCAAAGUCUCGCGCCAUUCCGAGUCCGGCGGACGAAGUCGGCCAGCCCCACCCCCCAAGGCUAUAGCCCACCCGUUUUUGUGGCCUUUUUCCGCUGGACGAACUUGGCGCCCCGGACUUUGGGCGGUUAUUUUUGGGCGCGGCCGUGUCCGCGGUCUAUUUUUUGCACACGGAGGCCGCUCGUAGAGUCUCGCGCCAUUCCGAGUCCGGCGGACGAAGUCGGCCCGCCCCACCCCCCAAGGCUAUAGCCCACCCGUUUUUGUGGCCUUUUUCCGCUGGACGAACUUGGCGCCCCGGAUUUCGGGUAGUUAUUUUUGGGCGCGGCCGUGCCCGCGGCCCAUUUUUGGCACACGGAGGCCGCUCGCAAAGGCUCGCGCCAUUCCGAGUCCGGCGGACGAAGUCGGCCUGCCCCACCCCCCAAGGCUAUAUAGCCCACUCGUUUUUGUGGCCUUUUUCCGCUGGACGAACUUGGCGCCCUGGAUUUUGGGUAGUUAUUUUUGGGUGCGGCCGUGCCCGCGGCCUAUUUUUGGCACACGGAGGCCGCUCGCAAAGUCUCGCGUCAUUCCGAGUCCGGCGGACGAAGUCGGCCAGCCCCACCCCCGAAGGCUAUAGCCCACCCGUU
rnacentral:lncRNA from 1 species